rnacentral:tRNA from 2 species
GGAGUGUUGUCCGAGUGGUUGAAGGAGCACGCCUGGAAAGCGUGUAUACGGUGAACGCUGUAUCGAGAGUUCGAAUCUCUCACACUCCGCCA